ACAGCAAAAUCCUACAGGAGCAUCUCCCAGGUGGGGUGAUGCUUACCUGAACAGACCCUGCUGUGCUCAGCUCCUCAGAGAACAGAGCAGAUGGAAAAGUCUGCACUGGUACAGUCCCAAGUAGCAACUUCAGAAGUGAUAAUAAUCACCUGUCAAAAAUGCAGAUCAGACUGGAGAAGAAAUAAGGGUUAAAAGGAAAAGCAUCACAGGCUCUAAUCUACUAGGGAAAGCUGAAGUGGAGGAAAGAGGGCAAACAUAAGAGCUUUGAAGAAAUGAGGAAAUAAAUAUAUGGAAUUCAAGUCUCUGUUUAAUUAAAAAGCUGAAGAAAAUGUAUCAUGGUGUCUUUGAAUGAGCUCUGACUGCAAAGACCACAGGCACCAGCAGCUGCAUGUGUGUGACUCCAGAGAUGCUGUGCUAGCACAUAACCUAUUUAUUCUUGCAACUCUGUGCAACAGCAGAUGAUAAUCCUAAUAUUAAAUUAUCCUAAUAGUAACCUUAACACAUAUACACAUAGAACAGCUUUCAAAAG